rnacentral:lncRNA from 10 species
CGGGUGGGUGUGGAAGGUCACUGCAGGCCGCCAUAGGACAGGCCUGGGCUCACAGGAGCAGGAUGUGGGGAGGGGGAUUGCCAGGCAGGGGUGGGGACCAAAGUGAAGGCCACCUGGUGGGAGCCAGUCAGAGGGGUGGGGCAGGGUUAGAUCACAAGGGAAUCCAAUGCCAGGGGGCCAGGGGAUGUUUUGCAAUGUGGGCAACUGAACCUGAGAUGUGACAAGACCAGUGAUUUGGCGACCUGCCCAGGCAGGCCCAGCCCCCAGGGUAUUGAGAUGACACAUUCUAAACUCAGGUGACCCGGGCCUUGGGAGUGCACUAGCAACUGGCUGUCAGUCACGGGGCUCUUCAGAUAUUUGUCACGUGAAUGAGCCAGACAGUAAGUGGAGAUGCCCUUCCUAGUCACCUACUGCCGGCGUUCACGCUGUGAACCAGCGAACUAGGCCACCGGCCUGACCCAGUUUUCCCUGUGGCCUGCCAAGCCAAGGAGAAGCAGACGCGGCCGGCGCAGGCGUCCAGGGUGACUCGGAGGCGUGGCUCUGCAGUCGCGGCUCUGCAGUCGCCUUGGAGCGGCUGCCCUUCCGACCCCGCCUGGGCUAUGACUCAUCUUCGGUGGAGGAGAAAGGGGCCUUUGUGAGCGCCCAGCUCCGGCGUCUCCUGGACAGCACCGCCCUCCGGUGGCCGCGAGUCAGGAGGGCUGGGGAAGCCGCCCGAGAGGCAGCGCCCGAGCUCCCCACGAGCUGCUGUGCCAUUGGAAGCGCCAGCGCCCUCCCCUCGGAGUCCAGCCAAGUCGGGGGGAAGACUGGGAGAGAAAUCGUCACCCCCUAGAGGGCAAGUGGGCUCAGCCCUAGGAAAUGCUUGUUUCUCCAGCCCCUCCCAGACGCCCCGGGGAAACGGCAUCCCAGAGCUCCGCUCCCUGGAGGCCCCUCCAGAGAGGGACCCGGGGCCCCGCCCCGCAGCUGGAGAAGGGGUGAAUGCCUUUCCUACCUAACGCCUGGUCCGCGGCCCUGCUUGUUGCGUCUCCAAGACCACGUGUCUGCUGCAUUUUAAAAAUAGUUGUGAACAUCUGACUUUCUCCUUUUGCUGGAGUGCAGUGGCACAAUCUCUGCUCACUGCAACCUCGGCUUCUCAGGUUCAAGCGAGUCUCCUGGCUCAGCCUUCCCAGUAGCUGGGAUUACAGGCGCGUGCCACCAUGCCCGGGUAAGUUUUGCAUUUUUAGUAGAGAUGGGUUUUCGCCAUGUUGACCAGGUUGGUCUUGAAUUCCUGACAUCAAAUGAUCCACCCGCCUCGCCCUCCCAAAGUGCUGGGAUUACAGACGUGGGUCACCAUGCCCAGCCCAGCCUUUCUCUUUUAGUAGAAUAUUUCCUCACUGGUUUGAAAUAUCACUUUGAUUAUAAACUAAAUGCUCGGGCCUAUUUCUGGCCAGGACCCUGACCUUAUACAUUAAGCCAAAGGAUAUGGACUUCUUAAAAAAAUCAUAUUAGGCCGCUAAUUAUGGAUUUAGGACAUUUAUUCACAUUGUUUUAGGCUCCAACUAAAAGCAGGCUUGAAUGAAGCAGCU